CGAUUCGCCCUUCGGGGUGCGCAGGCGCGAAAACUUUACAAUGCGGGAAACCGUGAUAAGGGAACUCCGAGUGCCCGUAAAAUCGGGCUGUCCAUCUGUUUAAAUAACAGGUGAAGAAAGGGCCGGGCAAGACCGGUGCCAGCCGCCGCGGUAAUACCGGCGGCUCGAGUGGUGGCCACUAUUACUGGGCUUAAAGCGUUCGUAGCUGGUCUGUUAAGUCUCUGGGGAAAUCUACUGGCUUAACCAAUAGGCGUUUCAGGGAUACUGGCAGACUAGGGACCGGGAGAGGUGAGGGGUACUCCAGGGGUAGGAGUGAAAUCCUGUAAUCCUUGGGGGACCACCUGUGGCGAAGGCGCCUCACCAGAACGGCUCCGACAGUGAGGGACGAAAGCUGGGGGAGCAAACCGGAUUAGAUACCCGGGUAGUCCCAGCCGUAAACGAUGCGCGUUAGGUGUAUCGGUGACCACGAGUCACCGAGGUGCCGAAGAGAAAUCGUGAAACGUGCCGCCUGGGAAGUACGGUCGCAAGGCUGAAACUUAAAGGAAUUGGCGGGGGAGCAC
rnacentral:rRNA from 1 species